rnacentral:rRNA from 1 species
AUUGAACGCUGGCGGCAUGCCUUACACAUGCAAGUCGAACGGUAACAGGUCUUCGGAUGCUGACGAGUGGCGAACGGGUGAGUAAUACAUCGGAACGUGCCUAGUAGUGGGGGAUAACUACUCGAAAGAGUGGCUAAUACCGCAUGAGAUCUACGGAUGAAAGCAGAGGAUCGCAAGACCUUGUGCUACUAUAGCGGCCGAUGGCAGAUUAGGUAGUUGGUGGGAUAAAAGCUUACCAAGCCGACGAUCUGUAGCUGGUCUGAGAGGACGAUCAGCCACACUGGGACUGAGACACGGCCCAGACUCCUACGGGAGGCAGCAGUGGGGAAUUUUGGACAAUGGGCGCAAGCCUGAUCCAGCAAUGCCGCGUGCAGGAUGAAGGCCUUCGGGUUGUAAACUGCUUUUGUACGGAACGAAAAGCCCUGGGUUAAUACCCUGGGGUCAUGACGGUACCGUAAGAAUAAGCACCGGCUAACUACGUGCCAGCAGCCGCCGUAACAC